rnacentral:rRNA from 1 species
UACAGAGGUCCCGAGCGUUGUUCGGAUUCACUGGGCGUAAAGGGUGCGUAGGUGGCUGGGAAAGUUUGAUGUGAAAGCUCAGGGCUUAACCCUGAAAUGGCAUUGAAUACUACUUAGCUUGAGGUUUGGAGGGGGGACUGGAAUUCUUGGUGUAGCAGUGAAAUGCGUAGAUAUCAAGAGGAACACCAGUGGCGAAGGCGAGUCCCUGGACAACACCUGACACUGAGGCACGAAAGCUAGGGGAGCAAACAGG